rnacentral:rRNA from 1 species
AGGGCGUACGGUGGAUGCCUUGGCGCCAGGAGGCGAAGAAGGACGCGGCCAGCGGCGAAACGCCACGGCGAGCCGUAAGCAGGCAGCGAACCGUGGAUGUCCGAAUGGGGGAACCCACCUGGGAUAGAUCCCAGGUACCGUAUGGUGAAUCAAGUAGCCAUACGGGGCCAGACCCGGUGAACUGAAACAUCUUAGUAACCGGAGGAACAGAAAGCAACUAAGCGAUUUCCCAAGUAGCGGCGAGCGAACGGGAAAUAGCCUAAACUGCGGCAGUUGAAAAGCCUGACUGCGUUGCUGUCGUGGGGUUGAGGGGAGUACUGAUCCUCCAGUCAGGGAGGAGCUGAUAUAGGAUAUAGCUAGCCGAAUAAGGUUGGAAAGCCAAGCCAAAGAGGGUGAAAGCCCCGUAGGCGAAAGUUAUAUACUAAUCAGUAGUACUACCCCGAGUACCACGGGGCUCGAGUAACCCUGUGGGAAGCAGGGAGGUCCACCUCCCAAGGCUAAAUACUCCCUGGCGACCGAUAGCGCACAAGUACCGUGAGGGAAAGGUGAAAAGCACCCCGGGAGGGGAGUGAAAAAGAACCUGAAACCGUAUGCCUACAAUCAGUGGGAGCACCGUAAGGUGUGACCGCGUACUUUUUGUAGUACGGGCCGGCGAGUUACGAUCUAGAGCGAGGUUAAGGGCCAAAGGUCCGGAGCCGUAGGGAAACCGAGUCUGAAAAGGGCGUAUAGUUUUAGGUCGUAGACACGAAACCAGGUGACCUACCCAUGGCCAGGGUGAAGCUCGGGUAAAACCGAGUGGAGGCCCGCACCCACCGACGUUGAAAAGUCGGGGGAUGAGCUGUGGGUAGAGGUGAAAUGCUAAUCGAACCUGGAGAUAUCUUGUUCUCCCCGAAAUAGCUUUAGGGCUAGCCUCGAGGGUUGAGUAAUGGAGGUAGAGCACUGAUUGGGCUAGGGUCCCCAUCCGGAUACCGAACCCAGUCAAACUCCGAAUGCCAUUACUUAAGACCUCGGGAGUCAGACCAUGGGUGAUAAGAUUCAUGGUCGAGAGGGAAACAGCCCAGACCAUCAGCUAAGGUCCCCAAGUACAGACUAAGUGGGAAAGGAAGUGGGAUCGCAGAGACAACCAGGAUGUUGGCCUAGAAGCCGCCAUCAUUUAAAGAGUGCGUAACAGCUCACUGGUCAAGCGAUCCUGCGCCGAAAAUUUCCGGGGCUAAAGUCUGUCACCGAAGCUAUGGCUUAUGCGGCACUUAACCUAAUCUUUUAAGUUAAGCAACCAAUGGAAAUUUCGUGGAUGUUUUGCGAGCGACGAAGUAAAUAGCGAAGCAAAACACCACCAAAUAAAACAGCUAAAGUCAAAAGCUUAGGUGGUGAAGAUAGCGAAGCAAAACACCACCAAAUAAAACAGCUAAAGUCAAAAACUUUGGUGGUGAAGAUAGCGAAGCAAAACACCACCAAAUAAAACAGCUAAAGUCAAAUUUAGAGGAUUAGGUUAAGUGCCGUAUAGGGGUAGGGGAGCGUUCCUUAAGGUUAGAAGUCGCAUCGGAAGGUGCGGUGGACUUUAGGGAAGUGAGAAUGCCGGCAUGAGUAACGAGAGACAGGUGAGAAACCUGUCCGCCGAAAGCCCAAGGUUUCCUGAGGAAGGCUUGUCCGCUCAGGGUAAGUCGGGACCUAAGCCGAGGCCGAAAGGCGUAGGCGAUGGGAAACUGGUGGAGAUUCCAGUACCACUUAAGACCGUUACGAGCGAAGGGGUGACGCAGUAGGGUAGGCCGAGCGCGGUGUUGGUAUCCGCGUCCAAGCGACCGAGGUAGCAGGGAUAGGCAAAUCCGUUCCUGUGAUAAUCUGAGGCGCGAUGGGGAGUGAAACAAUAAGUAACGAACUCGCUGAUCUCACACUGCCAGGAAAAGCCUCUAGCCAGGUUUUUAAGUGCCCGUACCGUAAACCGACACAGGUGGGCUGGGUGAGUAACCCUAGGCGACCGGGAGAACCCUUGUUAAGGAACUCGGCAAAAUGGCCCCGUAACUUCGGGAGAAGGGGUGCCCCGUUAGGGUGAUUGUUAACUCAUGAGCCUGAGGGGGCCGCAGUGAAAAGGCCCGAGCGACUGUUUACCAAAAACACAGGUCUCUGCUAAGUCGAAAGACGAAGUAUAGGGGCUGACGUCUGCCCGGUGCUGGAAGGUUAAGGGGAAGAGUUAGCCCUUUUGGGCGAAGCUCCGAACCUAAGCCCCAGUAAACGGCGGCCGUAACUAUAACGGUCCUAAGGUAGCGAAAUUCCUUGUCGGGUAAGUUCCGACCCGCACGAAAGACGCAACGACUUCGGCACUGUCUCAACAAGGGACCCGGUGAAAUUGAACUACCUGUGAAGAUGCAGGUUACCCGCGACUAGACGGAAAGACCCCGUGGAGCUUUACUGCAGCCUGACAUUGGGUUUCGGUAUCGGAUGUACAGGAUAGGUGGGAGGCUUUGAAACCGGGGCGCAAGCCUCGGUGGAGCCAUCCGUGGGAUACCACCCUUCCGGUACUGAAAUUCUAACCGUGAGCCGUAAUCCGGUUCCGGGACAGUGUCAGGUGGGCAGUUUGACUGGGGCGGUCGCCUCCUAAAGAGUAACGGAGGCGCCCAAAGGUUCCCUCAGCGCGGUUGGAAAUCGCGCGCAGAGUGCAAAGGCACAAGGGAGCUUGACUGCGACACCGACGGGUGAAGCAGGUACGAAAGUAGGGCUUAGUGAUCCGGCGGUUCCGAGUGGAAGGGCCGUCGCUCAACGGAUAAAAGCUACCCCGGGGAUAACAGGCUUAUCUCCCCCAAGAGUCCACAUCGACGGGGAGGUUUGGCACCUCGAUGUCGGCUCAUCGCAUCCUGGGGCUGAAGUAGGUCCCAAGGGUUGGGCUGUUCGCCCAUUAAAGCGGUACGUGAGCUGGGUUCAGAACGUCGUGAGACAGUUCGGUCCCUAUCUGUCGCGGGCGUAGGAGACUUGAGUGGAGCCGUCCCUAGUACGAGAGGACCGGGACGGACGGACCCCUGGUGUACCAGUUGUCUUGCCAAGGGCAUCGCUGGGUAGCCACGUCCGGACGGGAUAAGCGCUGAAGGCAUCUAAGCGCGAAGCCCUCCACAAGAUGAGGUCUCCAGCCUACAUCCGUGUAGGAUAAGACCCCAGAUAGAUGAUCUGGUCGAUAGGCCAGAGGUGUAAGGAGAGCAAUCUCUUUAGCUGACUGGUACUAAUAGGUCGAAGCCUUGACC